CUAUUGGGUAGCAAUAUUCGGUAGUGGGAGUGGCGCAAGGGUGCGUAACACGUGGGUAAUUUGCCGUAAAGUCUGGGAUAACUUGCUGAAAGGCGAGCUAAUACCGGAUGUGAUUGCUGGAGGGCAUCCUCUGGCACUUAAAGUCGGGGACCGUAAGGCCUGACGCUUUUCGAUAAGCCCGCGGCCUAUCAGCUAGUUGGUGAGGUAACGGCUCACCAAGGCUAAGACGGGUAGCUGGUCUGAGAGGACGACCAGCCUCACUGGAACUGAGACACGGUCCAGACACCUACGGGUGGCAGCAGUCGAGAAUUUUUCUCAAUGGGGGAAACCCUGAAGGAGCGACGCCGCGUGGGGGAUGAAUGGCUUCGGCCCGUAAACCCCUGUCAUUUGCGAUCAAACCUUACGACCUAACACGUUGUAAGCUGAUAGUAGCGAAAGAGGAAGGGACGGCUAACUCUGUGCCAGCAGCCGCGGUAAUACAGAGGUCCCAAGCGUUGUUCGGAUUCACUGGGCGUAAAGGGUGCGUAGGCGGUCGGGUAAGUCUGACGUGAAAUCUUCAAGCUCAACUUGGAAACUGCGUCGGAUACUAUUCGGCUAGAGGAAUGGAGGGGAGACUGGAAUACUUGGUGUAGCAGUGAAAUGCGUAGAUAUCAAGUGGAACACCAGUGGCGAAGGCGAGUCUCUGGACAUUUCCUGACGCUGAGGCACGAAAGCCAGGGGAGCAAACGGGAUUAGAUACCCCGGUAGUCCUGGCCCUAAACGGUGCACGUUUGCUGUAAGAGGAAUCGACCCCUUUUGUGGCGAAGCUAACGCGUUAAACGUGCCGCCUGGGAAGUACGGCCGCAAGGUUAAAACUCAAAGAAAUUGACGGGGGCCUGCACAAGCGGUGGAGUAUGUGGCUUAAUUCGAUGCAACGCGAAGAACCUUACCUGGGCC
rnacentral:rRNA from 1 species